CUCUCUCUCUCUCUCUCUCUCUCUCUCUCUCUCUCUCUCUCUCUCUCUCUCUCUCUCUCAAAACCCUAGUCCUCUCUCUCUCUCUAUCUCAUCGGCCCUCUGCUGCAGUUCGGCCUUCCGCUGCUCGUGAGUCUCCGAUUCUUAGUUCUUGGAAGAGUUCGAGUGGCUGUAAGACUACGACCUCAGAAUGCAGAGGAGUUGGUUGCAGAUGCUGAUUUUGCUGAUUGUGUAGAAUUGCAGCCAGAGGUUUUUCUAAUUGCACUUCUCUUUUGUUUGUAAUUGCAUAUGCCUAAAUUUACACCAGAUGUGCAGUGUGUAAUGCUUUCCAAAAAUAAAUGAGAAAUGUAAGUCAAUCCAUGGGCACCAA